rnacentral:rRNA from 1 species
UACGGGGGGGGCAAGCGUUGUUCGGAAUUACUGGGCGUAAAGGGCUCGUAGGCGGUUUGUCGCGUCGGGAGUGAAAACACUGGGCUUAACUCAGUGCUUGCUUCCGAUACGGGCAGACUAGAGGUAUUCAGGGGAGAACGGAAUUCCUGGUGUAGCGGUGAAAUGCGCAGAUAUCAGGAGGAACACCGGUGGCGAAGGCGGGUCUCUGGGCAGUAACUGACGCUGAGGAGCGAAAGCGUGGGGAGCGAACAGG